UACGGAGGGUGCAAGCGUUGUUCGGAAUCAUUGGGCGUAAAGCGCGUGUAGGCGGCUUGGCAAGUCGGUUGUGAAAGCCCGGGGCCCAACCCCGGAACUGCAUCUGAAACUGCCUGGCUAGAGUCCCGGAGAGGAAGGCAGAAUUCCCGGUGUAGGGGUGAAAUCCGUAGAUAUCGGGAGGAAUACCAGUGGCGAAGGCGGCCUUCUGGACGGUGACUGACGCUGAGACGCGAAAGCGUGGGGAGCGAUCCGG
rnacentral:rRNA from 1 species